rnacentral:rRNA from 1 species
GUGAGUCAUCGAGUCUUUGAACGCACAUUGCGCCCCCUGGUAUUCCGGGGGGCAUGCCUGUCCGAGCGUCAUUGCAACCCUCAAGCCCGGCUUGUGUUUUGGGCGGCCGUCCCGCGUGGACGCGCCCCAAUGGCAGUGACGGCAGCCGCGACUCCGGCGCCCGAGUGAAUGGAGGUAAAAAAACCACCGCUCGUAGGCGCAGGCCGGCUCCGGUCUUCUUUAACUAGAACGGGGAGUAAGAUCCCCAAUCGGUUGACCUCGGAUCAGGUAGGGAUACCCGCUGAACUUAAGCAUAUCAAUAAGCGGAGG